rnacentral:misc_RNA from 1 species
AACGCACGAGACCUGCGGACCUGCGGAGGGAUCAUUACCGAGUUUACAACUCCCAAACCCAAUGUGAACGUUACCAAACUGUUGCCUCGGCGGGAUCUCUGCCCCGGGUGCGUCGCAGCCCCGGACCAAGGCGCCCGCCGGAGGACCAACCAAAAACUCUUUUUGUAUACCCCCUCGCGGGUUUUUUAUAUCUGAGCCUUUCUCGGCGCCCCUUCGUGGGCGUUUCGAAAAUGAAUCAAA